UACAGAGGGUGCGAGCGUUGUUCGGAAUUACUGGGCGUAAAGCGCGCGCAGGCGGCCUUUUAAGUCUACCCGUGAAAUGCCGGAGCUCAACUCCGUGCACGCCGGGGGAUACUGGGAGGCUGGAGACAGGUAGAGGCAAGCGGAAUUCCUGGUGUAGAGGUGAAAUUCGUAGAUAUCAGGAGGAAUACCUGUGGCGAAAGCGGCUUCCUGGUCCGAUACUGACACUCAUGGACGAAAGCGUGGGGAGCAAACAGG
rnacentral:rRNA from 1 species